rnacentral:rRNA from 1 species
UGAGGAAUAUUGGUCAAUGGGCGAGAGCCUGAACCAGCCAAGUAGCGUGCAGGAUGACGGCCCUAUGGGUUGUAAACUGCUUUUAUGUGGGGAUAAAGUGCGUGACGUGUCAUGCUUUGCAGGUACCACAUGAAUAAGGACCGGCUAAUUCCGUGCCAGCAGCCGCGGUAAUACGGAAGGUCCGGGCGUUAUCCGGAUUUAUUGGGUUUAAAGGGAGCGUAGGCUGUCUAUUAAGCGUGUUGUGAAAUUUACCGGCUCAACCGGUGGCUUGCAGCGCGAACUGGUCGACUUGAGUAUGCAGGAAGUAGGCGGAAUUCAUGGUGUAGCGGUGAAAUGCUUAGAUAUCAUGACGAACUCCGAUUGCGCAGGCAGCUUACUGUAGCAUAACUGACGCUGAUGCUCGAAAGUGCGGGUAUCAAACAGG